UAGUCCAUGCCGUCAACUAUGAGAGCUCAUCUUAGAAAAACUGAGAUUUAGUUAACACGUUAAGCUCUUCGCCAGGGAAGUACGAUUGCAAGGUUAAAACUCAAAGGAAUUGACGGGAAUCCAUACAAACGGUGGAGCAUGUGGUUUAAUUCGAUACAACGCGUAAAAUCUUACCAGACUUUGUAUAAAUUUACUAUGAAUUUACAAGAUUGCAUGGCUGUCGUCAGUCCGUGUUGUGAAACGUUUGGUUAAUUCCAGUGAACGGACGCAACUUUUAUGUUUAAAUAUUUUUUAUUAGGCAAAUUGUUAAGAAAUACUUAAAGGAAGUGAAAAUGACGUCAAGUCUUCAUGGUCUUUAUAGUUUGGGCUACUUUCAUGUGCUACAAUGGAGUAUACAAAGAGCCGCGAUACUGUGAAGUGGAGCAAAUCUAUAAAAUAUCUCCCAGUUCGGAUAGCACUCUGCAACUCGAGUGCUUGAAGUUGGAAUCGCUAGUAAUCGUAGAUCAGCAAUGCUACGGUG
rnacentral:rRNA from 1 species